rnacentral:rRNA from 1 species
AGGUUAAGUUAAAAAGGGCGCAUGGUGGAUGCCUUGGCACUAGAAGCCGAUGAAGGACGGGACUAACACCGAUAUGCUUCGGGGAGCUGUACGUAAGCUUUGAUCCGGAGAUUUCCGAAUGGGGAAACCCAGCAGUUUUAAUCGACUGUUACUAUAUAGUGAAUUCAUAGCUGUAUAGAGGUAGACGUGGGGAACUGAAACAUCUCAGUACCCACAGGAGCAGAAAGAAAUUUUCGAUUCCCUCAGUAGCGGCGAGCGAACGGGGAACAGCCCAAACCAAUGAGCUUGCUCAUUGGGGUUGUAGGACUGAACAUUUGAGUUACCAAAGUUGUUGAUAAUCGAACAAUCUGGGAAGGUUGGCGAAACAGGGUGAUAGCCCCGUAGGUGAAAUCAAUGACCCUCAGUUCAGGAUCCUGAGUACGGCGACACACGUGAAACGUCGUCGGAAUCCGGGAGGACCAUCUCCCAAGGCUAAAUACUCUCUAGUGACCGAUAGUAAACCAGUACCGUGAGGGAAAGGUGAAAAGCACCCCGGAAGGGGAGUGAAAUAGUUCCUGAAACCAUGUGCCUACAAGCAGUUAGAGCCCGUUAAUGGGUGAUAGCGUGCCUCUUGUAGAAUGAACCGGCGAGUUACGGUAACAUGCCAGGUUAAGGUUUAAAAGCCGGAGCCGCAGCGAAAGCGAGUCUGAAAUGGGCGUUUUAGUAUGUUGCUGUAGACCCGAAACCAGGUGAUCUACCCAUGUCCAGGGUGAAGGUGCGGUAAAACGCACUGGAGGCCCGAACCCGUGUACGUUGAAAAGUGCUGGGAUGAGGUGUGGGUAGCGGUGAAAUUCCAAACGAACUUGGAGAUAGCUGGUUCUCUCCGAAAUAGCUUUAGGGCUAGCCUCGGACGUAGAAUCAUGGAGGUAGAGCCACUGUUUGGAUGAGGGGCCCGUCAUGGGUUACUAAGUUCAGAUAAACUCCGAAUACCAUUGAUUUUUAUCCGGGAGUCAGACGGUGAGUGAUAAGAUCCAUCGUCAAAAGGGGAACAGCCCAGACCACCAGUUAAGGUCCCUAAAUAUAUGCUAAGUGGAAAAGGAUGUGGAGUUGCAUAGACAACUAGGAUGUUGGCUCAGAAGCAGCCAUCAUUUAAAGAGUGCGUAAUAGCUCACUAGUCGAGUGAUUCCGCGCCGAAAAUUUACCGGGGCUAAGCAUAUUACCGAGACUGUGGACUUGACCUUUGGUCAAGUGAUAGGAGAGCGUUCUAAGGGCAAUGAAGCUAGACCGUAAGGACUGGUGGAGCGCUUAGAAGUGAGAAUGCCGGUAUGAGUAGCGAAAGAUCAGUGAGAAUCUGAUCCACCGAAUGACUAAGGUUUCCUGGGGAAGGCUCGUCCUCCCAGGGUUAGUCGGGACCUAAGCCGAGGCCGCAAGGCGUAGGCGAUGGAUAACAGGUUGAGAUUCCUGUACUAGUUGAUGAUGUUUGAGCGAUGGAGGGACGCAGGAGGCUAAGUUGUGCAUCCAGUUGGAAAGGGAUGUUCAAGCCACGAGUCAGUCAAAGAGUCAAAUGCUUUUUGGCGGGUUGACAAGUGGUGAUGAGGACCGAAAUUUAAGUAGGGAAGCAACCGACGUCACACUGCCGAGAAAAGCUUCUAGUGAGUCAUCAACUACCCGUACCGCAAACCGACACAGGUAGUCGAGGAGAGAAUCCUCAGGUGAGCGAGUGAACUCUCGUUAAGGAACUCGGCAAAAUGACCCCGUAACUUCGGGAGAAGGGGUGCUGUGCGCAGCACAGCCGCAGUGAAAAGGCCCAGGCGACUGUUUAUCAAAAACACAGGUUUCUGCAAAAUCGUAAGAUGACGUAUAGGGGCUGACGCCUGCCCGGUGCUGGAAGGUUAAGUGGAUGAGUUAGCUUCGGCGAAGCCCAGAAAUGAAGCCCCAGUAAACGGCGGCCGUAACUAUAACGGUCCUAAGGUAGCGAAAUUCCUUGUCGGGUAAGUUCCGACCCGCACGAAAGGCGUAACGAUCUGGGCACUGUCUCAACGAGAGACUCGGUGAAAUUAAGAUACCUGUGAAGAAGCAGGUUACCCGCGACAGGACGGAAAGACCCCAUGGAGCUUUACUGUAGCUUGAUAUUGGGUGUUGACACAGCUUGUACAGGAUAGGUAGGAGCCAUUGAAACCGGAACGCUAGUUUCGGCAGAGGCGUUGGUGGGAUACUACCCUCGCUGUGUGAACACUCUAACCCGCGCCACUCAGCGUGGCGGGAGACAGUGUCAGGUAGGCAGUUUGACUGGGGCGGUCGCCUCCCAAACAGUAACGGAGGCGCCCAAAGGUUCCCUCAGAAUGGUUGGAAAUCAUUCAACGAGUGUAAAGGCAGAAGGGAGCUUGACUGCGAGACAGACAGGUCGAGCAGGGACGAAAGUCGGGCUUAGUGAUCCGGUGGUACCGUAUGGAAGGGCCAUCGCUCAACGGAUAAAAGCUACCCUGGGGAUAACAGGCUUAUCUCCCCCAAGAGUCCACAUCGACGGGGAGGUUUGGCACCUCGAUGUCGGCUCAUCGCAUCCUGGGGCUGUAGUCGGUCCCAAGGGUUGGGCUGUUCGCCCAUUAAAGCGGUACGCGAGCUGGGUUCAGAACGUCGUGAGACAGUUCGGUCCCUAUCCGUCGCGGGCGUAGGAAAUUUGAGAGGAGCUGUCCUUAGUACGAGAGGACCGGGAUGGACAUACCGCUGGUGUACCAGUUGCGCCGCCAGGCGCACCGCUGGGUAGCUACGUAUGGAUGAGAUAAACGCUGAAAGCAUCUAAGUGUGAAACUUACCUCAAGAUGAGAUUUCCCAUUCCUAUAUGGAAGUAAGACCCCUGAGAGAUGAUCAGGUAGAUAGGUUGGAAGUGGAAGUGCAGUGAUGUACGGAGCGGACCAAUACUAAUCGGUCGAGGACUUAACCAAG